CGGUUGAUCCUGCCGGAGGUUACCGCUAUCGGGAUUCGAUUAAGCUAUGCGAGGCGUGAGUCAAUCUUGACUCGCCGAACUGCUCAGUAACCCGUAGCUAACCUGCCCUCAAGUGGAGGAUAAUCCCGGGAAACUGGGGCUAAUACUCCAUAGCUGUUUGGUGCUGGAAUGCCCAAACAGCCAAAGCUUCGGCGCUUGAGGAUGGGGCUGCGGCCCAUUAUGGUUGUUGUGAGUGUAAUGUACUCACAAACCUAUAACGGGUAAGGGUCACGAAAGUGAGAGCCCUGAGAUGCUUUCUGAGACAUGAAAGCAGGUCCUACGGGACGCAGCAAGCGCGAAACCUUUCCAAUGGCCUAGCGGCCGAGAAGGGAAUCCUGAGUGACUAUGCAUAGCAUAGUCUUUUGUCCUGUCUAAAUAACAGGACGAAUAAGUGGUGGGUAAGACGGGUGGCAGCCGCCGCGGUAAUACCCGCGCCACAAGUGGUAACCACUAUUAUUUGGUUUAAAGCGUCCGUAGCCGGUUUAGUAAGUUCCCAGUGAAAUCCAGCAGCUGACUGCUGGGCUUGCUGGGAAUACUACUAAACUUGGGAUUGGGAGAGGGUAGAGGUACUCCAUGGGUAGGAGUUAAAUCCUUUAAUCCAUGGAGGACCACCGGUGGCGAAGGCCUCUACCUUGAACAAGUCCGACGGUGAGGGACGAAGGCUAGGGGAGCAAAGGGGAUAGAUACCCCCGUAGUCCUAGCUGUAAACGAUGCCCGCUUGAUGUUGCAAACUCUACGGGAGUUUGCAGUGUCGGAGCGUAAGUGUUAAGCGGGCCACCUGGGGAGUACGGCCGCAAGGCUGAAACUUAAAGGAAUUGGCGGGGGAGCAC
rnacentral:rRNA from 1 species